UUUCCUGGGACAAGGGGAGGAGCAGGGAGGGGAAAAGCCAGUUCCUGCCUCUGCCUGGUCCCUGCACUGCUGGGGGGGAUGUGCUGCCCUUGGGACAGUGUUAGGGGGAUCCCCCAAAGUGGCUCCUGGGAUUCCGCUCUUUGGCUGCACAACUUUAGCCUGAAGGGACCAGUUCCUUUGCUUAUGGACCUUGGGUCUGAUUCAGUCUGGCAAAUCGUAUGCUCAUCUUUAGGGUUGAAAAUUUCUGUCCAGGGGUGAAUUUAUUGUAGAAACAUUGAGGAAAAGACACUCAGCCUAUUUUUGAGAAGGGGCAGAAUGGGAAAGAAGCACUAUGCAUAAAAAGGUUUAAUCGACUUUUCAACAGCCCUUGCAUGUUAAAAAUUUUGGCUAUAAACUACAUUUGACAGAAUUUCUGGCUCAGACAUUCUCGUCUCUAUAAUAUUCAAAGAGCUGUUUUGAUAUUGCUUUGUUAUAAGGGUUGGUAAAUCUCCAUUGUGCAUAUACACUGAUUUUUUUUUUCUUUUUGAUAUGAUUUGUGUACUAACUUCAGAUCUAAUCCGGUAAACACUUACUUAUAUGCUUGUCUUUGGCCAUGUGAGUGGGCCCAUUGACUUCACUUAAAUCUCUGUUUUGCCUCAAUCGGAUUAGUCCUGGUGGGAGAGGCGGCACCUCCACUGGAAUAAAGUGACCAGGCCAGGGUCUUGAAAUACAAGAGCCUAAAGGAUUUCCAAUUUCCAAAUCUGACAUGAUCUCCCGGCUGGAAUGUGAGGAGAAGCCAUGGGUCCCUGAUCUCCAAGGUUACGAGGAAAAAGAAAUCCUGAGAAAUAUUCACACAGGUAGUGGGACGGUGAGUGGGAACAACGAAGAAAAUCUUCAGCAGGAAGGUCCUGAUCAAGUGGAACCAUACACGAUGGUAUCGGGAAGAGCCGAAGGGCAUGUUUCCCAGAGUCCUGAGCAGGGAGAAGUCUGUGAGAGGAA